UUGAAUUGUAAGAUGUCAACGGAGAACAGAAGCUGGAAUGUGAACACAGAGGAAGGGGCAGACUGGAUGUGUGAGAUCCCGAAAACAUAUGGCGAUAUCAGGUGGCACAAAUAAAGGGAAAUAGACUUGUCACCAUCUUCAGUCCUUUAUUUCAUUCACUGGAGAACAUCACAGCCUUCAGAUGUGUCAAAUUAGGAUAAAUGCAACUGCAGGACUCGUCGGGCCCACCCCACUACAGAUUCACCCAGGAUCCAGCUGAUCACUGCCAAUUUGGAGGAGGAUUGUCCUUUAUCUGCUACAUUGCACUCUCACUUCUGAGGCUGUUAAGAAGAUUGCACUGAUGUCAAAGAUCAACCAGCAACAAUCUGAGAGGGAACUCUCAAAAUGGUUUACUGGGACAAGAGACAGAGGAGGACUGAGGGUGUCUAUAAUGCACAAAUGUCUGUCUGCAGUGUAAGCAGUACUGAAAAAUGUAUAGUUGCUGCUGCUGUUUCUUACUGUCUCUGUUUUUUUUAUGUGCAAAUGUUCAAAGCUUUCAAUAAACACUGGUUCAAAUAUAAGUUCAAAAUGUUUGUUAACUUUAACAAUUACAUAAUUUUAACAAUUAGGUAUCAGAAUAUAGCAUAUGAUGGGUAGUUUCAAUAAAAUUGAAAUUUGAAAAGAUUUAAAUCUCACUGUGUACUGCUGUAUGCUAAUGCUUUAAAACUUUUUUUUUAAUCCCACUUGCAAGCCAUAGUUUAUCCCAUGUAGUUCCCACAUAGAGUUUGAAGAUGGGACCUA